ensembl:lncRNA
CUGAGGUAAGGUACACUGCUCAGAUCCCUUUGGCAGAGUCAUUCACUUGAUCUAGGAACAUUUUGGUGAAGUCAAGGCUCCUCAGGACUGGAGAUGUAUACAGAUGAUAUUUUAACUGUGUGAAGUCCUCCAUCCAGGUCACCGGAUUCUUGACAGUUUUAGUGGUUAGGUUAGUCAGGGGCACCGUUAUUCUGAAGAAUGAUGGUAUGAAGUGCCGGUAUCACCUAACUAGCCAUACCUCCUUCUUGGUCUGGGACAGUUGCAGAAAGCUUUGAAUUUGUUGACUUGGGGCCUCACCUCACUCUCCCCUAGCUGAAACCCCAUGUAACUGGUCUCUGCCCUCUCCCACUCACAUUUGGACAUGUUCAGGGUCAGGCCAGCCUCAGAAAUCUUCCUCAGGAUCCUGCACAAAUACUGGAGAUGAUCUUUCCAGGUACUGCUGUGGAUUACCACCCCAUCCAGAACUUGCCAGUAACCCUUCCAAAGGUCCAGUGUUUUGAUGUUCCUGUCUCUCUCUAUGCUCUCAAUCAGUUAAUCAAUUCUGGUCAUUGGCAUGAAGCCCCCUCACACAGCUCUCUUUGUGGUCUGAUGAGUGAGGCUGCUGAAUUGUUUUGUGUCACUACAAAAGCCGCAUUCUCGUUUCCGUAAGAGAGAAGUCUGACCUUUACAGGAACGCACCAACACACACCGACAUUCACACACACACACACACACACAUACGCGCGCGCGCGCGCAAAGCAGCAGUUACAGCAUCAAAAAGAUUAAUUUGUG